UACAGAGGGGGCAAGCGUUAUUCGGAAUUAUUGGGCGUAAAGGGCGCGUAGGCGGCUUGGCAAGUGGAAGGUGAAAUCCCUCGGCUUAACCGGGGAACUGCGUCUGAUACUGGAUGGCUUGAGUUUGGGAGAGGGACGCGGAAUUCCAGGUGUAGCGGUGAAAUGCGUAGAUAUCUGGAGGAACACCGGUGGCGAAGGCGGCGUCCUGGACCAACACUGACACUGAGGAGCGAAAGCCAGGGGAGCAAACGGG
rnacentral:rRNA from 1 species